UGAGCCUAAAAUCUAGCCCAUCUCACUCAUAUGCCUUUUAAUUCUUCAGCCCCAAAACAAACCAUUUUAACUUUUUAGUAUAGGCGAUUGAAAAAUCUCUAUGGCGCUUCAGAUAAAGUACCGCAAGGGAAUGAUGAAAUAACUAUGAAACAGUUUCAAAGCCUUAUAUAGCAGAGAUUUAACCUCGUACCUUUUGCAUCAUGGUCUAGUUAGUCUUCUCAAGCAAAAAGAAACUUUUAGUUUGACCCCCCGAAACUAUGUGAGCUACUUCAAAACAGUCCUAAGGGACCAACCCGUCUCUGUUGCAAAAGAGUGGGAAGAUUUUUAAGUAGAGGUGAUAACCCUACCGAACUUAGAGAUAGCUGGUUAUUCAGGAAAAGAGUCUUAGCUCUACCUUAAGUUUUUUUCUUCUUCCAAACAAACUCCUAAACUUAAGAGCUAUUCAAAUAAGGCACAGCUUAUUUGAAACAGGAUACAACCUAUUAUAAUGGGUAAUUAUAGUAAGAUAAACAAAGUGGGCCUAAAAGCAGCCAUCUUCUAAAAAGCGUUAAAGCUUAAUUAUUUUAUCACUAAUAAUUCCUUACACUAUUAUUAACCCUUCAUUACUACUGAAUUAUUUUAUAAUACUAUAAAAGAUAUCAUGCUAGAACUAGUAACAAGAAAUUGACUUUCUCCAAAAUGUAAGUAUAAGCCAAAAUGGACCAGCCAUUGACAAUUAACGCCAAUGAAUAAAUUAUAGCAACAUAAAACUAGAACAUCCUAUAACCCCCAUAAACGUUAACCUUACACUAGAACAUUACAGGAAAGAUUAAAAGAGAAAGAAGGAACUCGGCAAACCUUAGCCCCGCCUGUUUACCAAAAACAUCGCCUCUUGACAAACUAUAAGAGGUCCAGCCUGCCCAGUGACAAAGUUCAACGGCCGCGGUACCCUAACCGUGCGAAGGUAGCAUAAUCACUUGUUCUUUAAAUAAGGACUAGUAUCAACGGCACCACGAGGGCUAUACUGUCUCCUUUCUCCAAUCAGUGAAACUGAUCUCCCCGUGAAGAAGCGGGGAUUAAUAUAUAAGACGAGAAGACCCCAUGGAGCUUUAAACUCACCAUACACCUCUGUUUAUUUACACCAUAAUAUCCUAAAAGACUUGUAUGUUAGUUUUAGGUUGGGGGGACCGCGGAGUAAACUUUAACCUCCACGACAAAUGGGCUAUGCCCUUAUCUAAGGACUACAGUUCUAAGAAUCAACAAACUGAUGUUUAAUGACCCGAAUAAUCGAUCAACGAACCAAGUUACCCUGGGGAUAACAGCGCAAUCUACUUCAAGAGCCCCUAUCGACAAGUAGGUUUACGACCUCGAUGUUGGAUCAGGGUACCCCAGUGGUGCAGCCGCUACUAAAGGUUCGUUUGUUCAACGAUUAAAACCCUACGUGAUCUGAGUUCAGACCGGAGCAAUCCAGGUCGGUUUCUAUCUAUAAAGCGUUUUCCCUAGUACGAAAGGAUCGGGAUAACAUGGCCAAUGCAAGCCCAAGCCAUUAUUCCUUACUAAUGAACUCUAUCUUAAUUAGCUAAGACCUUAUAUUUUAUUGUAGACCAUAAU
rnacentral:rRNA from 1 species